AGAAAGAGGCGGAAAGCGACACUGAGAAUCCAUUCCAAACGAGCAGCCAAGAGGGGACGCGGCAGCUCCCAGAUGUUGAUGUUUUGUUUUUUGACAUAAAUCUUUGCACUCAUAUGGGAGUUUUCAUUGAUUCAUGUUCCCAUCUGCUGAAUUUCCUUUUAUUUAUUUAAUAUGGCUUUGGGGGGAUAUCUUGCUCCGAGGCUCUGGA
rnacentral:lncRNA from 1 species